GACGAACGCUGGCGGCGUGCUUAACACAUGCAAGUCGAACGGAAAGGCCCUGCUUGCAGGGUACUCGAGUGGCGAACGGGUGAGUAACACGUGGGUGAUCUGCCCUGCACUUCGGGAUAAGCCUGGGAAACUGGGUCUAAUACCGGAUAGGAGCCAUUUUUAGUGUGAUGGUUGGAAAGUUUUUUCGGUGUAGGAUGAGCUCGCGGCCUAUCAGCUUGUUGGUGGGGUAAUGGCCUACCAAGGCGGCGACGGGUAGCCGGCCUGAGAGGGUGGACGGCCACACUGGGACUGAGAGACGGCCCAGACUCCUACGGGAGGCAGCAGUGGGGAAGAUUGCACAAUGGGCGCAAGCCUGAUGCAGCGACGCCGCGUGGGGGAUGACGGCCUUCGGGUUGUAAACUCCUUUCGCUAGGGACGAAGCUUUUUGUGACGGUACCUAGAUAAGAAGCACCGGCUAACUACGUG
rnacentral:rRNA from 1 species